rnacentral:rRNA from 1 species
CAGUCGCCGCGGUAAUGCGUAGGGUGCGAGCGUUAAUCGGAAUUACUGGGCGUAAAGCGUGCGCAGGCGGUUAUAUAAGACAGAUGUGAAAUCCCCGGGCUCAACCUGGGACCUGCAUUUGUGACUGUAUGGCUAGAGUGUGUCAGAGGGGGGUAGAAUUCCACGUGUAGCAGUGAAAUGCGUAGAUAUGUGGAGGAAUACCGAUGGCGAAGGCAGCCCCCUGGGAUAACACUGACGCUCAUGCACGAAAGCGUGGGGAGCAAACAGGAUUAGAUACCCCUGUAGUCCCUGUCUCUUAUAC